AUAUUGAUUUGGCAGAUUAGUGCAUUAAAUUUAGAAUUUAAAUAUGUAUAGUUACAAUCAAUA
rnacentral:tRNA from 3 species